AUGAUCUUACCACAUACUCAGCAACCGUAUCGUAGCCCAGGAUCACAUCCCCCAAGUUUCCUAUACAAGCGAACAAGGGUGAGAUGCCAGUUAUUUUGCAGAAGUAACGGUAACGGAAGGGGAACAAAGAAAGAAGCGUGUCAGUUCAUCACCUCUCGAGUCGGGGAGGAUCACGGACAUGAGGGUGGCACCCCAGUUGGUGACCUUGAUGGAGAAAUCCCCCUUCUUGAGCUCGUAGACACCGACGGUCUUCGUCUCGGCCGCCGCAUCGGCGCGGCCGGACAGGCCGAGCGCCACAAAGCACGAGGCGAGAAGAGGAGCGACGAGCAGGGCUCUCGCCAUUUUCAUCGCAAGGUGCUGUUCUUCUACGGAGUGUGGCCUUAUCAAGAAGAGCUGGAAGAAGGGGAGGCCCAGGAGAGGAGUUCCGGUAGGUACCGGAAGAAGGUCAUGCAUACGCGCGCACGUCAAGGCAAGGAAAUAUAA
rnacentral:rRNA from 1 species